GAUUACUCUCUAGAGUGACAUGGCCAAUUUAUUCAAGCGUUCAGCUGAUGAACAAUAAAGAAACAUAAGGAUCAAAACAUUCAGUUAUUAUGUCAACAUUACCCUUUCAGUUACGAAUAAUAUUCUUAAAAUCUUAAUAAUUAGUAAUAAAAUAACCUUGUAAUUUUUACAAAAGGAGAUUGGUAUUAGAGUCCAAUGCCUGCUUGCAUUGCAUUCAAUUGUACUUCAAGAACACCAGCUUUUUCUAGAUCCCCUGAGCACGAUUUUGGUAGUAAAUCAUUGAAAAAAAUGUGAACUCAGCCGCAAUAAGGUGAAAAUAAGCUUUUUUCCAUUUCCUAAAAAUCCAGCGCUUCUAAAGCGAUGGAUAGUAAACUGCCGUCGCCAAGAUUGGAAACCAACCAAAUGGUCAAGAAUCUGUUCUAAGCACUUCAAAGAUUCUGACAUCAUCAAACACAAAGUUAAGUGCACGCUUGUUGAUGGAGCAGUGCCCUCAAUUUUUGACUUUCCAAUGCACUUAAAAAAAGUAGAGUCCCAUCGACGAAUCUUAAAGCGAAGAACCUAUGAAGAAGACAGUACUAUAAAAAGGAAUUCUGAUGACAUGAUUGAAAAAAGGUCAAUUGUAAAUAUAGUCAUUGAUCAUACAUAUGCUCUACCUAGUACUAUGGAAUCCUUGGGGGAGGUGACAAAAAGAGUAAAUAUAGUCAUUGAUCAUACAUAUGCUCUACCUAGUACUAUGGAAACUUUGGGGGAGGUGACAAAAAGAGCAAAAAGAUACAUUAUGAUUCUUUCCGAAAAAAAUGAACUUCUUUCAACACAUUUAAAGGCUUUAAAAAUUAAAAAUAAAAUUAUUUGUCAAAGCAAACGAAGGCUUCAGAAGCGGAUAACCAAUGCUAAAGAUUUAUGUCGUCAUUUAACAAAAUAAAAUAUGGGUUCUGGAUUAAGUUACUACUAUAACAUCUAAGUUUUCAAAGAGCCCUUUCAUCGUAUGAUCCAUAAUACAAAAAUGGGAAUUACAACAAAAACAUAUACUCUGGGAAUUAAAUCAAUUUGCGUUGACUUAACAGUUUUUCUCUCAGAAGGGUUAUGAUUAUUCCGAAGGAAUUUCAACAUGGAAUUGCCACAUCCUUCUGUCAUUAGAACCUGGUAUGGAUCGAUUGAUGGUUCUACUGGCUUUACUCUAGAAUCAUAUGAAACAUUAAGAAUACGAUUUGAGCAACAAGAAAGCGACAACGGCGAAAAAAUCUAUUACAACCUAACUCUAGAUGAAAUGAGUAUAAAGAAAAUGAUUGAGUUUGAUGGCAGUAAGUACCAUAGGUACGUGGAUUGUCCGACGAUUCAAUGCCUCCUGCCACAGAGGUUAUUGUACUGAUGGUGGUUGCCAUGAAUGGGAGUUGGAAAAUACCUAUUGGAAACUGUAUGAUCCAUGGAUUAUCUGGGAGAGAAAAGACAAAUUUGGUUCGUACGGCUUUGAGUAAAGUGUAUGAUACGGGUAUAAUCAUUCCUAGUAUUACAUGUGAUACAUCUUGCAACUUUUCUAUUUUUAACGCCCUCGGAGCUGUUCUCCCUUCAAAUAAUAUGGAAAAUACGUUUCCUCAUUCUUUCAAUCUGAAAUCAAGAUAGCAGUUAUAUUUGAUAUUUGCCACAUGAUGAAGCCCGUGAGGAGUACAUUUGCAUCCUUUGGUGUUAUGAAAAAUCAAAAAGGAGAGGAGAUUCGUUGGAGCUUUAUCAAUGAACUAUACUUAUUACAGAAACAUAAAGGUCUGAGAGCUGGAACGAACUUGAGAAAAGCUCUCAUUGAAUGGAGAAAAAUGAAAGUAAAUUUGGCAUGCCAAAAACUUUCGAGAAGAGUAGCAGUAGCUCUCAAAGGAACUUAAACACAAAAACUUUUCAAACUUUACGGCUACAGUGGAGUUCAUUAGAAUAAUUUACGUCUUAUUUGGCAUUUUUAACUCUCGGAAUAUAUUAGGAAGCUCAACUAAAGGGCCAUUAAGAAGAUGCAACUAUGACUAUAACAAAGAACUAAAAACUUACAGUUGUUAAGCAAAGCAAAAAACAGGAUAUGUUGGAUUUUUGAUUGGGAUUCAGAGUUUUAUACACUUAUAUAAGUGUAUCAAGUGUAAACAAGUUAUCUAAAAUAUACAAAUUCAGUCAAGACCACUUGGAACUUUUCUUCUGUAUAAUUCGCUCUGCCAACGGGCAUAAUAAUAAUCCUUCGGUCAGACAGUUUUCCUCCGCUUAUAAAAGAUUGAUUAUUCAACAUGAGAUUAAAGCAGGAACCAGAGGAAAUUGCUUAAGCAAAGAUAACACAACCUUUCUAUCUUCCCAGGGAAACAAAGGAAGAUGCUAGAUAAAUAUGGAUAGCAACCAUAUGGAAUUUAGUCGUAAACAUGGCUUAAUUGAUAAAGGUCCUUUGCAGAUCGACCAUGAUUUGAGCAGAGUGCCUAAUCAUAAUUCUUUCACAGCAAUUUCAGACUGUAAAAGAGUGGUCAUCACUUACAUUAACGGAUUUUUAGUGAAAAAAUGGGGAAAAACAAUCUUUAGUGAAAAAUUCAUUGAAUCUUUGUGGUGUCUCGACAUCGUAUUCAAGGUCGAUUAUGCCUUGAUAAAUCAGAAAGAUGGGAGAGGAUUGCAUCAAACAGUACUAACAUAUCCUUUUGAGGAUGUUAUUGAAGUCUAGAAUCUGAAAGUAUGUUUGAAAAACUUUUAAAUUCUACAAAACGGGCUUUGCCGAGAGAUUCCAGCGUGACUCGUCAAAUUAGCAUUGCAGUUUUGAAAAAUAUUGGCUUUCGUAAAAAUUAUUUCAAUGCCUUAGUGAUCAUAUAUUUGAUUCAUCUCCAGAAUCUAAUAAUGUAUUUUCCCUUAUAAAAGCAAUUUCUCAAUGUUAUACAAGUAUGAAACUGCAUCACUUGGGAAAGCUAGAAACUGAGACUGUAGAAGGAACCAAGAUUCGUAUUGUUCUCACAAAUCUUAUACAGUUUAAGUAUCAAUAAUUUGAAAAAUAUCAAUAGUAUGUUGGAAGACUUAAUUUUAUUAGUAUAUAAUAUUUUUUAGAAUAAAUGAUACUUCAUUGAUUA
rnacentral:lncRNA from 1 species